UGCCAUCACCACCGCAAACGUUAUGGACUCCAAAUACAUCUGUUGGGAGUGUCUCUCUCUCUCUCUCUCUCUCUUUCGACAGUUCAUCCGGUGAGAGGCGAAUCGAACUGUACCAAGAAAUGCAGCAACCUCCGUCGUCGGGGGACUCGCUGAAGAUGUCCUCGAUCUCCAUCUUCAGCUCCGCCACGGAAGCUGUCCUUGCGACUUCCACCUCUGCCAACAUCGCAGCCUUGAGGUUUGGCAACGACAGAUCCAGAAGAACAUGCACUUUCUGGAAAGGUCAAAGAAAGUAGCGGAAGGUACCGUAGGAGGAGCCAUCCAAUUUGAGGACGGAGAGGCGGAGAAGCUGCUCGGGGAGGCGGCAAUAGGAGAUGCUUCUGCGCCCGCCAGCGGAGGCGCCGAUGCCGACGACGUCGUCGUCAUCGACGUGUGGGGAUGGCGAAGGAUGCGCAGGCGACCGCGGCAGCUUCCCCCACCCAGGGCACCUCGCCAUCGCUGUACCGGUGAAUGUAUUUCCCCUCUCUGACGACGGGAGAGAAGAAGAAGAAGAAGAACCGAUCGGUGCCUAGGAUGGAAGGGCACGCGAUCCCUUGUCGUCUUCUUUGCCCCUUUGCCUUUUUGUUGCCGACUCCCGUGGUGUAACAGAAACAAGAUUCCUGCAGGGAAACGAGGCGGGGAAGCUAGCCUCCGUUGCGGUGCGCUUGAUCCACGCCGCAGAUCGGUGGUAGCACGGAUCAUUACGAUGACUCCCCUUGCGGUGGACGGUCCUCAUGGCUCCAGUUUCCGUCCGUCCGCCCGUCCUCUGUUUCCGUCAUUGGCAGGUGAUGAACUACGGAUGGGAUCAGCGGAUGCGGUUGGAUUCGAACCUGAACCUAAACAAUAACUGGUGAAGCCUGAAGGGGCCGUUCAAGCGGGCAGGUCUGACCCAACCCGGACCAGAAUCCCCCUUUCGCAAAACACUCCUUUUUAGGGCGACGCAUCUUUUCCUUUCCCUCCCUUAUAUCUCAUCAUUUCCGCGGUCGAAUUCCUUGGCAGCUGCUUGGCCGACGGUUGCGGGGACAGUUCGACGCCGUCGCCGAACCGGCGUAAAUGGCAUAUUUAAUGGGAUCUCAAUCUCCAUCGACGGAUUCAAUUUCUUUCCGCUCCGGUCAGGUGCUUUGUUUCUUUCUGGUUUUUGAUCCCCUAGUAGCAUUAGAUCGAUCGGACGGAUUUCAAUUUGCAGUCACAUACAAUUGCCUGUCUCUUUACUUGACAUGGUUUUUCGUAUAGAAAAAAUAUUGCUUUGAGAGAUAAUGGAUAGGACUUAUUUCUACUAUAUCGUUCGGCUUCUUUGUCGUCGAACCUGUUUUCUGCGAAACCGUUUCUGAAAAUGACGGAUAAUACCCGCAACCUAACUGUGUUUAUACGAUCAUUAAGAUAAGUUUGUUCUUAUCUGCUAUCACUUGAUUUGAAUUCACUGAUGGUCGUUGCGAUGUAUCACCAGGAUCGCGUCAAGACGGUUCCGUUUCCUCCAUCACUUCCAGUCGAAUCAAUCAAUCCUGAAGGCGACUUCUUGGCGGCCUAACACUCGUUCACUACACGGGAACAAUCAAUUUGCUGUUGGUUCACUACGUAACUUAAUUUUCGGCAGAUGGACAGAUAAUACUCCAAAUUUCAACGAAGCUUUUUUUCCCUUUUCUUUCGUUUCCACCAAUCUCAUCUCACGCCUGUCUGUACA
rnacentral:lncRNA from 1 species